CUAAUGUGAUCAUUUCUAAGGAUCAGUGAAGCGCAGAUACCGGACUGAGGAUAGUUUGAGUUACCAGGUAGAUAAACUGUCAGGAAGCACCUCCGAGCUUCCUGAGGGCGAACUGAAGUGGAAAAUUGGAUUUUGAACCCGAGGACCGACGGCACUUCAUCAGGUUACUUAUUCCACUCAUAGUUCAACUUAGUGGGUGAUUAUCAAUGACUCGUGUGUUUUUCAAGACGAACUUCGAACGAAUGUCAUCUCCAGUUUACGCUUCUUUUCAUCUGUCGCGUUGAGUCCCAGUGAUUCCUCCUCUGUGAGUGGAGAGCAACGCGGGACGCGAGCUCGUCCUCGGAGUCGAGUGCAGGUUUCUGUGGGACCGCACCUGUGUCAGGACGCCUGCUGAAUUCUAAAUGAUUCAUUGGUCAACUAUCAAGAAGCUACAAAGGCCGCGAAGAGCCACUUGUCUCCGUCGGCCGGGAAACCAAUUCCCCCGGUGUCUUUGUGUCGGCGUCUGUCAGCGGCGGAGGAGGGUUUCAGGGGGCAGCGAGGGGCCUUCAUCACUUCGGCCUCCUCCUCCUCCUCCUCCUCCUCCUCCUCGGGGCCUGGGAACCAGACCAACGCCGACCGCGGUCUCAUCAGGGAAAUCACGCACCCGCGGCCUCUGAGAACCUUUCUGCACUAAAUGAGGUGAACCUGAAACCAUCUUUUUUUACUCCAGGAGCCUGAAUGCAUUAUAACGAAUAACUCCACAGUCUCUCUGUUGUCUCCUUCACACUCGCCUCAUUAAUACGCGUACAGAGAAACAGCAGUUGUAAGAGAGAGAGAUUCUGUGGGAAGCUUCUUCCGCCGCUGCGCUCGUGUCUGACGUCUCUGGUGCCUGCUGGUGAUUUAUUCUCAGCCGACCAGCGGCGGAGGAGGAGCCGAGUCGUUUGUGACGUGUUCCUUUUGCGGUUCCUGCGAAUAUUUCUCCUGGAAGAAUGCAGACAAAACUGUCUCAAGCUGUGUCUGCGAUAAGUGAUUGUUUAUCAUUAAUCUUUUAUUUUUCAAUUUUGCCACACUGGCUCUGUCGCUCCACGACGCAAACUCCUCUGCAGACGUUCGCGGUCCUCAGAGGACGAAUCCGUGUGGCCCGUGUGACCCUCUGACCCCGUCUCCAUCGCCUCCGGCGGGUCAAAGUCUUC
rnacentral:lncRNA from 1 species